UACGGAGGGGGCUAGCGUUGUUCGGAAUUACUGGGCGUAAAGCGCACGUAGGCGGCUUUGUAAGUUAGAGGUGAAAGCCCGGAGCUCAACUCCGGAAUUGCCUUUAAGACUGCAUCGCUCGAAUCAUGGAGAGGUGAGUGGAAUUCCGAGUGUAGAGGUGAAAUUCGUAGAUAUUCGGAAGAACACCAGUGGCGAAGGCGGCUCACUGGCCCGGUACUGACGCUCAUGUGCGAAAGCGUGGGGAGCAAACAGG
rnacentral:rRNA from 1 species